AGAGUUUGAUCCUGGCUCAGAUUGAACGCUGGCGGCAUGCCUUACACAUGCAAGUCGAACGGCAGCGCGGACUUCGGUCUGGCGGCGAGUGGCGAACGGGUGAGUAAUACAUCGGAACGUACCCUGUUGUGGGGGAUAACUAGUCGAAAGAUUAGCUAAUACCGCAUACGACCUGAGGGUGAAAGCGGGGGACCGAAAGGCCUCGCGCAGCAGGAGCGGCCGAUGUCUGAUUAGCUAGUUGGUGGGGUAAAGGCCCACCAAGGCGACGAUCAGUAGCUGGUCUGAGAGGACGAUCAGCCACACUGGGACUGAGACACGGCCCAGACUCCUACGGGAGGCAGCAGUGGGGAAUUUUGGACAAUGGGGGCAACCCUGAUCCAGCAAUGCCGCGUGUGUGAAGAAGGCCUUCGGGUUGUAAAGCACUUUUGUCCGGAAAGAAAUUGCUCUGGCUAAUACCUGGGGUAGAUGACGGUACCGGAAGAAUAAGCACCGGCUAACUACGUGCCAGCAGCCGCGGUAAUACGUAGGGUGCGAGCGUUAAUCGGAAUUACUGGGCGUAAAGCGUGCGCAGGCGGUUUUGUAAGACAGGCGUGAAAUCCCCGGGCUCAACCUGGGAAUUGCGCUUGUGACUGCAAGGCUAGAGUGCGUCAGAGGGGGGUAGAAUUCCACGUGUAGCAGUGAAAUGCGUAGAGAUGUGGAGGAAUACCGAUGGCGAAGGCAGCCCCCUGGGACGUGACUGACGCUCAUG
rnacentral:rRNA from 1 species